rnacentral:tRNA from 1 species
GGGGGUAUGGCUUAAUUGGUAAAGCAGUUUCUUCCUAAGAAAAAAAUUAGCGGUUCGAGUCCGCUUACUUCC